GGCAGUGUGGCAUAGUGGUAAGGAGCAGGGCUUGUAACCACGAAGUCACUGGUUCGAUUCCUCACCAGGGGACUGCUG